rnacentral:lncRNA from 1 species
GUCACAAAAAUAUUUUUUGUUUCUUAGCCUGGUGUUCAGAAUUUAGUAGCAAUAGCGGUAAGGUUGCAGAAUGCCACCAACAGAACUCCUCUCCCUUUCCAACAGCUACGGCAUGCUCAACAGCUUUGGUUGAACACUUCCUCCUCCACUGGCUGGGUGUGAGGGUUCGUCAAUCUGGUCCGUCGGGAAGUACACAGAAAGAAUUUAAUGUUUCGUUUUUGUGAUGAAGUGUUUACCAGUGAGAAUGGGAAUGUGCCCAGAACAAAUCGCUGGGCUACACCUGCCAACCUUCUGGCCAUCGAGACUUUACUUUCAUCGUUAAUAUUAUAUAUUUUUGAUUAUUGUUAUGAGUAUUCAUAUUAGUCUUUAUAUUUGAACACCCAUCGGACAGGGAAAACUACAAUGGCAUUCCUCUCCGGGCUCGGAAGAACUUAUUUUUCUCCUGGUCUCUUUAGGAUGACCCGCGCUGUCUUGUUCAUCCUGGUGAUCUUUGUGUGUCUUGCACCGAUACUGGAGUUCAACAGCACACAGGCACUCUACAACAAGGAUCGUUCACUGAAGGAUGAGCUCUACCAGACACUGAAGGAGUUUACAACUGAAAUACGCCUCCAUUAUGUUGUUUUCGAGGAGGUGUUCACGAUUUGGAUGACCCGCACUGUCUUGUCCAUCCUGGUGGUGUUUGUGUGUCUUGCACCAAUGCAGGAGGUAUACAGCACACAGGAUGACAUAAAGAAGAAGAUUCAAGCUUUGGGAUUGAAGGCCAAUUCCCUGAAGGAUUACUGCAAUACUAAGAAGGAGGCCAUCUUUAAAAUGUUGGAAAAGGACGAUCAGUCCCUUGACGCUGCAUUGGCCAAAGCAGAAAAACGCAAGGGGCCCGUGUUUGCAGCAAUAAAGGACAAACUUGAGAUGGCGAAGGAGUCGAACUCUGAACGAAAAGCUCAAUUGCAGCACUUCACUCAUGUCUGUGACCUCAGUUGUGAGCACAUCCAGAAGGAAAUCAUGAGACUCAAAGACUUAGUCAAUGAACCCGAGGUGAUAAAAAAUGUAUUAUAAUUAUUACUUAUUAACAUUAGCAUUAGUUGAUGCAUUAGUGAGCAUUAUUAUAUAGCAUUAGCAUAGGGGUUAGCGUCGGUGUGUUCUUCAUCGCUGAUACGUCACACACAGGAUGAUGGAGGGUGGAACCUGUUGGCCCGUGGCAGAAAGUGUCAGUCAGGGUCAGGUAGUUCAGGUUUCUGACUGCUUUAUUGGUUAGUUUGUGUGGUUGUAUCAAGGUUUAACUGAGGGAACAUCUGUACAAAUGUCAUGAUAUUUUUUUUGUUUUGUUUUUUGGUCUUUCUUUACACAAUAUCUGUUCUGUCUGCCUUUGUAUACAGAUCUUGCAAACCUUCCUUUAUUACUGGUUGCAUUUAAAACACUGGUUAAAACAUUUCUGUCAUAUCUUGAUAUUCUUAUUUGAUUGGACUAUUUCCCUCUAAUCUCAACCACCUUUCUGUGGUGCUUUUUCUUUCUUGCUUUGUGAGAAAGUAUAAGAAGAGAAGCUGUUAUUUAUUUGGCAACUUUGAAUAACCAAAUGCAGGUCUCUGUGAACAUGCCCUGGCCUCAAAAUAACUGCAGAUUCCUGUACAAACUAGGGCUGUCACUUUUUAUUCGAAGUUCGAAUAUUCGUUCGAAGGUGGGGGGAAAAGUUCGAAUUCGAAGUGUAAUUCUCCAUUCGAACUGUGUGUGCUGCCGUCUCAUAAGAACUUCAGACCAUUUUAAGUAGUCUGCUUUCGAUCCAGCAGAGGGCGCACUAAAAUUUUAUAUCAGUUUGACCUGUUGCCGACCCUCUUGGCCUGGCUAUCUGUAUCGAAUGUUGAAUCAACAUUCGAUACAGAUAGGCCAAGAGGGCUUUGAAACAAAACGUAACUGAAGAGAACGCGAACCGAGAUACGGCUAUUAAAAAACGGCUAUUAAAAAUGGAGAAUUGCGAGGAGUACAAUGCUGAGCGGACCAUAACGACACCAUCACAUUUAAAAAGCAUCGUAUGGAAGCAUUUUGGCUUUUACACCGUGGGUGGAAAAGUCACAAACAAAGACGAGGCCGUUUGUCUUCUUUGUGAAAGAGAGCUGUCGUACUUAUCGACAACAUCAAAUUUGCGCACUCAUCUGCUAGCUUACCACCGAAAUGUAGCAGCAGAGGAACAACUGCUGAGCGGAGCUGCACAGAGUGUACAGCCGCGCGUGACAGCAUUCUAUUCAGCUCACUCAGCAGGCCCCUUACCUGACCCCCGUAACAAGGCCAUCACCGGUAAAAUCGUUUAUAUAGGCUGUGUGUGCCAUGGACGACAUGCGCUCCGCAUAUCGCGCUCCGAGCAGUUAUUGUUAAUGUGUAAAAGACAGCCGCACUUGGCCGUCGGAGCUUCCUCUUGUUGUGUUUACAAAUGUGUUAUCAAAGAUGUGUUUUUAUCCUGUGCUGUUAUGAAUUCAGUAGGUAUACGUGAUUUCCACAAGAAAUAAAAAGAGCAACAUAAAAAAUCAAGACUGUUGUCGUGUUCUAUGGGGGGGGGGGGGGGGGGUCGAAUGUAUUCGAAUGUAUUCGAAUUAAUUAUGGGCAUUCGAAAUUCGUUCGAAUUUCAUUUUUGGAAAAAGUGACAGCCCUAGUACAAACACAACAAAAGCUCAGGGAAAAAACAUGGGAACAAAACAAGCAGAAAUCUAGUUGAAGUAUAUAUAGUAUAUAUAUAUACAGGUGCUGGUCAUAUUAUUAGAAUAUCAUGAAAAAGUUGAUUUAUUUCAUUAAUUCCAUUUAGAAAGUCAAACCUGUAGAAUGUAUACAUUCAUUCCAAACAGACUGAUAUAUAAUAAGUGUUUUUUGCCAAAAAGAAGAUGAUUAUAGCUGACAACCAAUGAAAACCCUAAAUUCAACAUCUCAGAAAAUUAGAAUAUGGUGAAAAGGUCAGAUAUUGAAGACACCUGGUGCCACACUCUAAUUAGCUAACUAACUCAAAACACCUGGAAAAGCCUUUAAAUGGUCUCUCGUUUUG